rnacentral:sRNA from 1 species
GGGGCUGCAAGGGACGCCCCAAGUAGGAGGGAUCCUACUUGGGCACCUCCUCCAAGUCGGCCUCCCCUCUUCCAUAUACAUCGGAGGGGGAAGGAAAGAGAGGGGAGAAGGAAAGGGGGAGGCUGUAUCCUCCCAUUUCCUU